GGACUACCGGGGUAUCUAAUCCUGUUUGCUCCCCACGCUUUCGGAGUUGAGUGUCAGUUCCUGUCCAGGUCGCCGCCUUCGCCUCUGGUGUUCCUCCCGAUCUCUACGCAUUUCACCGCUACACCGGGAAUUCCACGACCCUCUCCAGGACUCCAGUCCCACCGUUUCAAAGGCACUUCUGGGGUUAAGCCCCAGGAUUUCACCCCUGACUAAUGAGACCACCUACCUCCCCUUUACGCCCAAUAAUUCCGAGCAACGCUUGCACCCUCUGUAUUACCGCGGCGGCUGGCAC
rnacentral:rRNA from 1 species